UCUUCUUCUUCUUCACAAGCUAAGCGAAAGCAUGUUGGCCAUCUCCUCCGCCGCCACUCCUCCUCCUCCUCCGCCGUCGCCUCCAAGGUCCUUCUCCAGGCGCCAUUCCGGCCAUUGUAGUGCCGUAGCCUUGUCUCCCCACGCUGAUCACCCGUCGGAGAAGAAGAAGGUGGUGGUCGUCGGCUCCGGCUGGGCAGGCCUCGCCUCAGCUCAUCACCUCACUAAACAGGGCUUUGAUGUCACUGUUCUUGGAUCUGGGAAUGGUCCUGCUGAGGAGAUUGGCAUGAGAGGUUUCCGGUAUGCCUACCGAAAUAUUUUUUCCUUGGUAGAUGAACUUGGCAUCAAGCCUUUUACCAACUGGACUAGAUCUGCUCACUUCUCACCUGAUGGCUUAGAGGUUGAAUUUCCUAUAUUUCAAGAUCUACCUAAGCUGCCAGCUCCUUUUGGAGCUUUGUUAUAUCCUCAAUUCUUACGUCUCCCUUUGGUGGAUAGAUUGACAUCAAUUCCUCUUAUGGCAGCUGGUAUAUUAUUCAGUACCAACGUUCUAUUUAUCGACUUUGACAACACUGACAUUGCUUGGAGAAAAUAUGAUGCAAUGACCGCAAGGGAGCUUUUUAAACAAUUUGGCUGCUCAGAAAGGCUUUACAGAGAGGCUUUUGAGCCAUUUCUUCAGAUUGGUUUGUUUGCUCCUGGAGAACAAUGCAGUGCAGCUGCAACCCUUGGAAUGCUCUAUUAUUUCUUCCUUGCUCACCAGCAAAACUUUGAUGUCUUAUGGUGUCGUGGGAGUGUGCAAAAUAAAAUAUUUACCCCAUGGCUGGAGUCUAUGAAAAUAUAUGGCUGCAAAUUUCAUGGAAACAGCAAGGUGACAGAUUUUAUUUUGGAUGGAAAUAAUGGGACCAUUGCAGAAGUUGUGUGUGGACAAGAGGCUUUUCAAGCUGAUGCUGUCAUUCUUGCUGAAGGUGUUUCUGCAAUACAGUCCACUGUUUCAAGCAGUCCAGUGCUUCAAUCAAGGGAAGAGUUUCUGCAGGUUCUGAACUUGAGUUCCAUUGAUGUUAUCAGUUUAAGAUUAUGGUUGGAUAGAAAGGUACAAAUUCUGAAGCCCGGCAAUGUUUGCUUUGGUGUUGAUGGCUUGAGUGGAUGGACAUUCUUUGACCUGAACUCAAUAUAUGAUGAGUAUGAAGAUGAACCGGCUACUGUCUUACAGGCUGAUUUUGCUUAUGCAAGGCAGCUUUUACCACUAAAAGAUGAUCAGAUUGUUCAGAAAGUAGUUUCAUGUCUUUCCAUAUGCAUAAAAGAAUUGAAUGGGGCUACUGUGCUGCAGCACAUUGUUGAUAGAUUUCCCAAUUCAGCAACUCACUAUUUUCCAGGUUCCUACAAAUAUAUGAUGCGUGGCUCAAGUAGUUUUCCGAACUUGUUCAUGGCUGGUGACUGGAUUGUUACUCGUCAUGGUUCUUGGUCACAAGAGAAAGCUUAUGUCACCGGACUCGAAGCUGCCAACAGGGUGGUGGAUUACUUUGGUGAUGGGAGUCUUGCAAAAAUAAUUGCGGUAGAGGAAGAUGAACCUCAUAUUGAAACACUACGCAGCAUCAAUAGAAGACUCGGGGAAUUGCGAGCCGAACUUCCCUUGUCUGACUUUUUUCUUCAGUAAAGGUAUGCAUGCAUGGAAUGUUGUUAUGAAGAUGUUGAGAAAUUUAUGGACAUAUAAGGUUUAAAAUUUAAUAUAAUGAUCGAAGUGACUUCACAGGUGCUUCACCUCCUACUCUCAACCAUGGAUGCUCUGUUCAUAUGUUUAAAGUUUCAAGUUUUUGACUACUGUGACGCUCUUCUUAAUGAUGGCAUGUGAAAAAAUGUCUUGCACUCACCAAGGGCCUGAGCAGCAGAUGAGAAGAAGAUUUGAAGCUGUGAUAAUACCUGCCCAGAAAGGAGGCAUUCCACAAAGAAGGAUGUAAAGAAUGACACCAGCACUCCAUACAUCAAUCUCCUUCCCAUAAUUCCUUUUCAAUACUUCUGGA